rnacentral:rRNA from 1 species
UACGUAGGGAGCAAGCGUUGUCCGGAAUCAUUGGGCGUAAAGCGCGCGUAGGCGGCCCUGUAAGUCCGUUGUGAAAGUCAAAGGCUCAACCUUUGAAAGCCGAUGGAUACUGCAGGGCUAGAGUCCGGAAGAGGCGAGUGGAAUUCCUGGUGUAGCGGUGGAAUGCGCAGAUAUCAGGAGGAACACCAAUAGCGAAGGCAGCUCGCUGGGACGGUACUGACGCUGAGGCGCGAAAGCGUGAGGAGCGAACAGG